rnacentral:rRNA from 1 species
UACGUAGGGGGCAAGCGUUAUCCGGAUUUACUGGGUGUAAAGGGAGCGUAGGCGGUCCGAUAAGUCUGGUGUGAAAGCCCGGGGCUCAACCCCGGGACUGCAUUGGAAACUAUCGGACUUGAGUGUCGGAGAGGUAAGUGGAAUUCCUAGUGUAGCGGCGAAAUGCGUAGAUAUUGGGAGGAAUACCGGUGGCGAAGGCGGCUCCCUGGACCGGUACUGACGCUGAGGCGCGAAAGCGUGGGUAGCAAAC